CAGCCGCCGCGGUAAUACCGGCGGCCCGAGUGGCGGUCACUAUUAUUGGGCUUAAAGCGUCCGUAGCCGGGUUGGGAAGUCCUCCGGGAAAUCUGGCCGCUUAACGGUCAGAAUGCCGGAGGAUACUCCCAGCCUAGGGAGCGGGAGAGGCCGAGGGUAUUCCCGGAGUAGGGGUGAAAUCCUAUAAUCCCGGGAGGACCACCUGUGGCGAAGGCGCUCGGCUGGAACGCGUCCGACGGUGAGGGACGAAGGCCAGGGGAGCAAACCGGAUUAGAUACCCGGGUAGUCCUGGCUGUAAACGAUGUGGACUUUGUGUCGGACAAGCUAUGAGCUUGUCCGGUGCCGGAGGGAAACCGUUAAGUCCGCCGCCUGGGGAGUACGGCCGCAAGGCUGAAACUUAAAGGAAUUGGCGGG
rnacentral:rRNA from 1 species